rfam:Metschnikowia bicuspidata var. bicuspidata NRRL YB-4993 METBIscaffold_3, whole genome shotgun sequence.
GAAAGCCGUAUGAUGGGAAACUAUGACGUACGGUUUGGAGGGCAGUAUCAGACAAGAGCUACCCUAC